GAAGAGAGGAAUGAGGAUAUCACACUGAAAUCUGGUAUUAUCUACAGUUAUGUGACAUUUUGUUCACGUCUUCAGCCAGGAGCCAGCUGGCACAUGCUGCAUUUCUUCACCCAGAGAAAGACACAUCUUACUCUUCUCCACACUUCUAGAACAACAGCUUCAGCACGUACAGGUGAUUUAGUGCCUCAGGUGUCCCUGAGACCGCAGUAAGCCAGAGCCUGUGCCUCCUGGCCUGGGUAGAACGUCAGCCAUGUCUAGGCCUCUACUCUCAGACCCCCUGGAGAACCCGCACAGCCACUCUAUCCUCACUGCAGCCCGGCUCGCCCGCAGAGGAUGGACAGAUGAGGAGAAGAAGACAGACUGGCAAUUUUCCUAUUUAGACUUAUCGGCACAUCAACCGUCUUUCUCCAGACCAGAUGGAAAUCAGAGUCCAAAACGUGCUGAGAUUCUCCUGAAGGAGCCCAGGAGCCAGCAGGUUGUCGCCUUGAACGGCAGGAAGACGGCUGAGGACAGAGAAACAGACUCUGACAAAAAAGCAGAUGAAGCAAAACAGACUGAUGGUGCAUUCUCAGCUAACAGACAAGCAGAAAGACAGACGUAUCUCUGCAGUCUGGCAGGCAUCCGUGUCUGGGCGCCUGGCUGUCGCACCACAUGCAGACGGCCCAGAAGGUUUAAGGCCCCUCUACUACCAGUCAUUGCUGAGGUGUAGGCCAGCUGCCAUUUGUUCCAGAAAUAACAAUGGAUUAAAGCCAAGGUGCAUGUAAAACACACAGGUUAUG